UACGUAGGGGGCUAGCGUUGUCCGGAAUCAUUGGGCGUAAAGAGCGUGUAGGCGGUCCGGUAAGUCCGCUGUGAAAGUCGGGGGCUCAACCCUCGAAUGCCGGUGGAUACUGUCGGGCUCGAAUCCGGAAGAGGUGAGUGGAAUUCCUGGUGUAGCGGUGAAAUGCGCAGAUAUCAGGAGGAACACCAAUGGCGAAGGCAGCUCACUGGGACGGUAUUGACGCUGAGACGCGAAAGCGUGGGGAGCAAACAGG
rnacentral:rRNA from 1 species